AAUUCGAUUUAGUUUGAUCAUGGCUCAGGAUGAACGCUGGCGGUAUGCUUAACACAUACAAGUCGAACGGAACCUUCGGGUUUAGUGGCGGACGGGUGAGUAACGCGUGAGAAUCUGCCUUCAGGACGGGGACAACAGUUGGAAACGGCUGCUAAAACCCGAUGUGCCUACGGGUGAAAUAUUUAUAGCCUGAAGAGGAGCUCGCGUCUGAUUAGCUAGUUGGUAGGGUAACGGCUUACCAAGGCGACGAUCAGUAACUGGUCUGAGAGGAUGACCAGUCACACUGGGACUGAGACACGGCCCAGACUCCUACGGGAGGCAGCAGUGGGGAAUUUUCCGCAAUGGGCGCAAGCCUGACGGAGCAAUACCGCGUGAGGGAGGAAGGCUCUUGGGUCGUAAACCUCUUUUAUCAGGGAAGAACACAAUGACGGUACCUGAUGAAUCAGCAUCGGCUAACUCUGUGCCAGCAGCCGCGGUAAUACAGAGGAUGCAAGCGUUAUCCGGAAUUAUUGGGCGUAAAGCGUCCGCAGGUGGUUUUGGUAGUCUGCUGUCAAAGCGCGAGGCUCAACUUCGUAUCGGCGGUGGAAACUCCAAGACUAGAGUUUGGUAGGGGUCACGGGAAUUCCCAGUGUAGCGGUGAAAUGCGUAGAUAUUGGGAAGAACACCAGCGGCGAAA
rnacentral:rRNA from 1 species